rfam:Streptomyces sp. CB01580 scaffold2, whole genome shotgun sequence.
GGGUCCUUGCAUUCGCCCGGCACCGAGUGACCGUAUUGACCGUUACGCCCACUUACGGGGUGGUUUCGUGAUGCACCCCGUACCCGGAGGU